rnacentral:lncRNA from 1 species
AAGGGCUUAGUGUCCCUCAAGGCCUGCGGGGGAAGGCUGGGAGGAGACACCUAUAGGUGGUGGCCCUUUGGUUUUGCUUUCUCCACUCUGAACGAACCUGUUGGAACCUCUUUGCUUUGAGGAAACUGAGGCAAGAGGAAGUUAAGUAAAUUACCAGAAGAGACCAGGUGAGGGCUUCACACCUGUUGUGUGGUCCAGAGCCUGGGCUUCUGCCCCUUCUUGUUCUGGGCUGAAGGUCUAUCCAGGGGAGGACUCAGGAUGUUAGUUGAGAGAACAUGAGUCUUUCCUCAGAAGAGGUGGUGGUGAUGCAUGUGACCAGCACCAUGGUCUGCCAAGACAGCUCUAGAGCCUCCUUGCAAAGCUCCCACAGGGAGCCCUCCCUCUAGAGCCCAGCAGGCAGAUCCUUCAAUGCUUACUGUGGAGCAGAGAAGAGACACAGCAGAGCGCAGGUUCCACCCUUUGGGAGUCUCCCUGUCCCAGCACCGCCAUACUAGGAGCCACGUCUCUGGCACUCGCACCCUAAGGAAAUGCAUUCAAAGCACAGCAUGCCAAUGCUUCAAGAUCCAUCCUAGUCCCCGAGGCCUGGUGUCUAUCUGUGUACUUUGAUACCAUCCGAGUAGAUCUUUGGGGCCAUGGCCUGGCCAGAGCAGCCAAAGAGUUGUAGCUCUUCAAGGGGAGGACAGGAACCUACUUGUGAGUAGAUUUAAAUGUCUAUUGUUCUCAAUUAUGAGGAUUGUUGGGGUUUCUGAAUCUGCUUAACCAUACCAGGUUGUCUGUCUGGGUGGCAUGGUUUACUGCCCUAAAG